UACGGAGGGGGCUAGCGUUGUUCGGAAUUACUGGGCGUAAAGCGCACGUAGGCGGCUUUGUAAGUUAGAGGUGAAAGCCCGGGGCUCAACUCCGGAAUUGCCUUUAAGACUGCAUCGCUAGAAUUGUGGAGAGGUAAGUGGAAUUCCGAGUGUAGAGGUGAAAUUCGUAGAUAUUCGGAAGAACACCAGUGGCGAAGGCGACUUACUGGUCCAGCACCGACGUUCAGGCACGAAAGCGUGGGGAGCAAACAGG
rnacentral:rRNA from 1 species